UAGGGAAUCUUCCACAAUGGACGCAAGUCUGAUGGAGCAACGCCGCGUGAGUGAAGAAGGUUUUCGGACCGUAAAGCUCUGUUGUUGGUGAAGAAGGAUAGAGGUAGUAACUGGCCUUUAUUUGACGGUAAUCAACCAGAAAGUCACGGCUAACUACGUGCCAGCAGCCGCGGUAAUACGUAGGUGGCAAGCGUUGUCCGGAUUUAUUGGGCGUAAAGCGAGCGCAGGCGGAAGAAUAAGUCUGAUGUGAAAGCCCUCGGCUUAACCGAGGAAUUGCAUCGGAAACUGUUUUCUUGAGUGCAGAAGAGGAGAGUAGAACUCCAUGUGUAGCGGUGGAAUGCGUAGAUAUAUGGAAGAAUACCAGUGGCGAAGGCGGCUCUCUGGUCUGCAACUGACGCUGAGGCUCGAAAGCAUGGGUAGCGAACAGGAUUAGAUACCCUGGUAGUCCAUGCCGUAAAACGAUGAGUGCUAAGUGUUGGGAGGCUUCCGCCUCUCAGUGCUGCAGCUAAACGCAUUAAGCACUCCGCCUGGGGGAGUACGACCGCAAG
rnacentral:rRNA from 1 species